rnacentral:rRNA from 1 species
UACGUAGGGUGCGAGCGUGUCCGGAAUUAUUGGGCGUAAAGGGCUCGUAGGCGGUUUGUCGCGUCGGGAGUGAAAUCCACUGGCUUAACUGGUGGCUUGCUUUCGAUACGGGCAGACUGGAGGUAUGCAGGGGAGAACGGAAUUCCUGGUGUAGCGGUGAAAUGCGCAGAUAUCAGGAGGAACACCGGUGGCGAAGGCGGGUCCCUGGGCCGUAACUGACGCUGAGGAGCGAAAGCGUGGGGAGCGAACAGG